UGACUGUUCUGGAUGGCUCUUGUUCCUA
rnacentral:piRNA from 1 species